rnacentral:rRNA from 1 species
AACGAACGAGGGUGGCAUGCCUAACACAUGCAAGUCGAACGAGACCUUCGGGGCUAGUGGCGCACGGGUGCGUAACGCGUGGGAACCUGCCCUUAGGUUCGGAAUAACUCCCCGAAAGGGGUGCUAAUACCGGAUAAUGUCUUCGGACCAAAGAUUUAUCGCCUUUGGAUGGGCCCGCGUUGGAUUAGCUAGUUGGUAGGGUAAAAGCCUACCAAGGCGACGAUCCAUAGCUGGUCUGAGAGGAUGAUCAGCCACACUGGGACUGAGACACGGCCCAGACUCCUACGGGAGGCAGCAGUGGGGAAUAUUGGACAAUGGGCGAAAGCCUGAUCCAGCAAUGCCGCGUGAGUGAUGAAGGCCUUAGGGUUGUAAAGCUCUUUUACCCGGGAUGAUAAUGACAGUACCGGGAGAAUAAGCUCCGGCUAACUCCGUG